UACGUAGGUGGCGAGCGUUGUCCGGAUUUACUGGCGUAAAGAGCGCGCAGGCGGUCGUACAAGUCGCGUGUGAAAGCCCCCGGCUCAACUGGGGAGGGUCACGCGAUGACUGUUCGACUCGAAGGCAGGAGAGGGAAGUGGAAUUCCCGGUGUGAGUGGUGGAAAUGCGUAGAUAUCGGGAGGAACACCAGUGGCGAAGGCGACUUCCUGGCCUGUUCUUGACGCUGAGGCGCGAAAGCUAGGGUAGCAAACGGGG
rnacentral:rRNA from 1 species